CGACGAGUUUGAUCCUGGCUCAGAUUGAACGCUGGCGGCAGGCCUAACACAUGCAAGUCGAGCGGUAGAGAGAAGCUUGCUUCUCUUGUAGAGCGGCGGACGGGUGAGUAAUGCCUAGGAAUCUGCCUGGUAGUGGGGGAUAACGGCUCGGAAACGGACGCUAAUACCGCAUACGUCCUACGGGAGAAAGCAGGGGACCUUCGGGCCUUGCGCUACCAGAUGAGCCUAGGUCGGAUUAGCUAGUUGGUGGGGUAAUGGCUCACCAAGGCGACGAUCCGUAACUGGUCUGAGAGGAUGAUCAGUCACACUGGAACUGAGA
rnacentral:rRNA from 1 species